UUAUUGAAUGAACGUAGAGUUGGUUGUAGCUGGUCUUUCUAAAGACACGUGCACACCUCCUCUUUCAUCCACACACCCCCUGUGCACUCGUAAGACGGAGGCUUGGUACCCCUUUUAUUAGGGGGGGACUGUUCCCGUCUGCCAACACAUAAAAUCAUAUUUAUUAAAUUUGAAUGUAAAUUGAUGUAACGCAUCUAAUACAAAGUUUCAACAACGGAUCUCUUGGCUCUCGCAUCGAUGAAGAACGCAGCGAAAUGCGAUAAGUAAUGKGAAUUGCAGAAUUCAGUGAAUCAUCGAAUCUUUGAACGCACCUUGCGCYCCUUGGUAUUCCUUGGAGCAUGCCUGUUUGAGUAUCAUGAAAUUCUCAAAGCAGGUCUUUUUGUUAAUUCAAUUCGAUUUGCUUUGGAUUUGGAGGUUUGCAGAUUCACAUCUGCUCCUCUUAAAUAAAUUAGCUGGAUCUCCAUGAACUUGGUUCCGCUCGGCGUGAUAAGUAUCACUCGCCGAGGACACCCGUAAAAAGGG
rnacentral:rRNA from 1 species